rnacentral:rRNA from 1 species
AAGAUCGACGAGCGGCGGACGGGUGAGUAAUACUUAGGAAUCUACCUAGUAGUGGGGGAUAGCUCGGGGAAACUCGAAUUAAUACCGCAUACGACCUACGGGAGAAAGGGGGCAGUUUACUGCUCUCGCUAUUAGAUGAGCCUAAGUCGGAUUAGCUAGAUGGUGGGGUAAAGGCCUACCAUGGCGACGAUCUGUAGCUGGUCUGAGAGGAUGAUCAGCCACACCGGGACUGAGACACGGCCCGGACUCCUACGGGAGGCAGCAGUGGGGAAUAUUGGACAAUGGGGGAAACCCUGAUCCAGCCAUGCCGCGUGUGUGAAGAAGGCCUUUUGGUUGUAAAGCACUUUAAGCAGUGAAGAAGACUCCGUGGUUAAUACCCACGGACGAUGACAUUAGCUGCAGAAUAAGCACCGGCUAACUCUGUGCCAGCAGCCGCGGUAAUACAGAGGGUGCAAGCGUUAAUCGGAAUUACUGGGCGUAAAGGGAGCGUAGGUGGCUCGAUAAGUCAGAUGUGAAAUCCCCGGGCUCAACCUGGGAACUGCAUCUGAAACUGUUGAGCUAGAGUAUGUGAGAGGAAGGUAGAAUUCCAGGUGUAGCGGUGAAAUGCGUAGAGAUCUGGAGGAAUACCGAUGGCGAAGGCAGCCUUCUGGCAUAAUACUGACACUGAGGCUCGAAAGCGUGGGUAGCAAACAGGAUUAGAUACCCUGGUAGUCCACGCCGUAAACGAUGUCUACUAGUCGUUGGGUCCCUUGAGGACUUAGUGACGCAGCUAACGCAAUAAGUAGACCGCCUGGGGAGUACGGCCGCAAGGUUAAAACUCAAAUGAAUUGACGGGGGCCCGCACAAGCGGUGGAGCAUGUGGUUUAUUUCGAUGCAAC